GUCGAGGGGCAGCGGUGGUGAAGGCUUGCCUUUACCAGCCGGCGACCGGCGCACGGGUGAGUAACACGUAUGCAACCUGCCUGCCACAGCCGGAUAAUCGGGAGAAAUUCCGUCUAAUACGGCAUAAUGCAUCGACGGGACAUCCUGUUGGUGCCAAAGGUUAAUUCCGGUGGCGGAUGGGCAUGCGUCGCAUUAGUUAGUUGGCGGUGUAACGGACCACCAAGACGACGAUGCGUAGGGGUUCUGAGAGGAAGGUCCCCCACACUGGUACUGAGACACGGACCAGACUCCUACGGGAGGCAGCAGUGAGGAAUAUUGGUCAAUGGGCGGGAGCCUGAACCAGCCAAGUCGCGUGAGGGAUGACGGCCCUAUGGGUUGUAAACCUCUUUUGCCGGGGAGCAAAGUGCCGCACGUGUGCGGUUUGGAGAGUACCCGGAGAAAAAGCAUCGGCUAACUCCGUGCCAGCAGCCGCGGUAAUACGGAGGAUGCGAGCGUUAUCCGGAUUUAUUGGGUUUAAAGGGUGCGUAGGCGGACGCUUAAGUCAGCGGUAAAAUUGCGGGGCUCAACCUCGUCGAGCCGUUGAAACUGGGUGCCUUGAGUGGGCGAGAAGUACGCGGAAUGCGUGGUGUAGCGGUGAAAUGCAUAGAUAUCACGCAGAACUCCGAUUGCGAAGGCAGCGUACCGGCGCCCAACUGACGCUGAAGCACGAAGGCGUGGGUAUCGAACAGGAUUAGAUACCCUGGUAGUCCACGCAGUAAACGAUGAAUGCUAGUUGUC
rnacentral:rRNA from 1 species